rnacentral:rRNA from 1 species
ACGCUAGCGGCAGGCUUAACACAUGCAAGUCGAGGGGCAGCACGUCUUCGGAUGGUGGCGACCGGCGCACGGGUGCGUAACGCGUAUACAAUCUACCUUUUACAGGGGCAUAGCCCGGGGAAACCCGGAUUAAUAUCCCAUGGUAUUAUUAAAUGGCAUCGUUUGAUAAUUAAAGCUUCGGCGGUAAAAGAUGAGUAUGCGUCCUAUUAGCUAGAUGGUAAGGUAACGGCUUACCAUGGCUACGAUAGGUAGGGGUCCUGAGAGGGAGAUCCCCCACACUGGUACUGAGACACGGACCAGACUCCUACGGGAGGCAGCAGUGAGGAAUAUUGGACAAUGGGCGAGAGCCUGAUCCAGCCAUGCCGCGUGCAGGAAGACUGCCCUAUGGGUUGUAAACUGCUUUUAUACGGGAAGAAACACCCCUUCGUGAAGGGGCUUGACGGUACCGUAUGAAUAAGGAUCGGCUAACUCCGUGCCAGCAGCCGCGGUAAUACGGAGGAUCCAAGCGUUAUCCGGAAUCAUUGGGUUUAAAGGGUCCGUAGGCGGGUUUGUAAGUCAGUGGUGAAAGUCUGCAGCUCAACUGUAGAACUGCCAUUGAUACUGCAUACCUUGAGUAAUUAUGAGGUGGUUAGAAUAUGUAGUGUAGCGGUGAAAUGCAUAGAUAUUACAUAGAAUACCGAUUGCGAAGGCAGAUCACUAAUAAUUUACUGACGCUGAUGGACGAAAGCGUAGGUAGCGAACAGGAUUAGAUACCCUGGUAGUCUACGCCGUAAACGAUGGUUACUAGCUGUUUGGCUCGAUUGAGAGCUGAGUGGCUAAGCGAAAGUGAUAAGUAACCCACCUGGGGAGUACGUUCGCAAGAAUGAAACUCAAAGGAAUUGACGGGGGCCCGCACAAGCGGUGGAGCAUGUGGUUUAAUUCGAUGAUACGCGAGGAACCUUACCAGGGCUUAAAUGUAGCUUGACAGGGGUGGAAACACCUUUUCCUUCGGGCAAGUUACAAGGUGCUGCAUGGUUGUCGUCAGCUCGU